ACGUGAUCUGAGUUCAGACCGGAGYAAUCCAGGKCAGUUUCUAUCUAUAAGAAGACUUUUACAGUACGAAAGGACCUAAAAAACAUGGCCAAUACUUAAGCAAGCCAUAUCAAUAACUUAUGCUUUUGACUUAAUAAGCAAUUAAUUCAUUAUUUAUCUCUAUAAAAGAGAA
rnacentral:rRNA from 1 species